UACGGAGGGUGCAAGCAUUAAUCGGAUUUAUUGGGCGUAAAGGGCGCGUAGGCGGAUAUGUAAGUCAGAUGUGAAAUUCCAGGGCUCAACCUUGGAGCUGCAUUUGAAACUACAUUGUCUAGAGGGUAGGCGGAGAAAACAGAAUUCCACAAGUAGCGGUGAAAUGCGUAGAUAUGUGGAAGAAUACCGGUGGCGAAGGCGGUUUUCUAGCUUAUUCCUGACGCUGAAGCGCGAAAGCAAGGGGAUCAAACAGGG
rnacentral:rRNA from 1 species